GGGCGCAAGCCUGAACCAGCCAUGCCGCGUGCAGGAAGACGGCCCUAUGGGUUGUAAACUGCUUUUNUCGGGGAAUAAACCUCAUUACGUGUAAUGAGUUGAAGGUACCCGAAGAAUAAGGAUCGGCUAACUCCGUGCCAGCAGCCGCGGUAAUACGGAGGAUCCAAGCGUUAUCCGGAUUUAUUGGGUUUAAAGGGUGCGUAGGCGGUUUAUUAAGUCAGUGGUGAAAGCCCGGAGCUCAACUUCGGAACUGCCAUUGAUACUGAUAGACUUGAGUACAGAUGAAGUGGGCGGAAUGUGACAAGUAGCGGUGAAAUGCUUAGAUAUGUCACAGAACACCGAUUGCGAAGGCAGCUCCACUAAAGUGUAACUGACGCUGAGGCACGAAAGCGUGGGGAUCAAACAGGAUUAGAUACCCUGGUAGUCCACGCCCUAAACGAUGAUUACUCGCUGUUAGCGAUAUACAGUUAGCGGCUAAGCGAAAGCGUUAAGUAAUCCACCUGG
rnacentral:rRNA from 1 species